CUGAAUUGUUUUCUACCAGAUAAAAUGAAUUUCAUGGUAUGAUAUCACUGCAUCCAUCAACAAAUAGAAUUUUGUUAUUGCACAAGUUUGACAUCGCCAAUGAAUUCUCGUCGGAUGAUGUUUUGUUAAUGUCAUGGUUGAAACUAAUAGAAUUUGAAAUCAGGUAGCAGGUUGUAGAAGCCAGAAUAAACGAAAUAUGGUAGA